rnacentral:rRNA from 1 species
GACGAACGCUGGCGGCGUGCCUAACACAUGCAAGUCGAGCGAAGUGAGUACUACGGUACGAACUUAGCGGCGGACGGGUGAGUAACGCGUGGACAAUCUACCCUGUAGACUGGGAUAACACCUCGAAAGGGGUGCUAAUACCGGAUAAUGUCGAGAAGCGGCAUCGCUUUUCGCAGAAAGGAGAGAAUCCGCUAUAGGAGGAGGCCGCGUCCCAUUAGCUAGUUGGUGAGGGUAACGGCCCACCAAGGCGACGAUGGGUAGCCGGCCUGAGAGGGUGAACGGCCACACUGGAACUGAGACACGGUCCAGACUCCUACGGGAGGCAGCAGUGGGGAAUAUUGUGCAAUGGGGGAAACCCUGACACAGCAACGCCGCGUGAGCGAAGAAGGCCUUCGGGUUGUAAAGCUCAAUAGUAUGGGAAGGUAAUGACGGUACCAUACGAAAGCCCCGGCUAACUACGUGCCAGCCGCCGCAGUAAUAC